GAUGAACGCUGGCGGCGUGCCUAAUACAUGCAAGUCGAGCGAACAGACGAGGAGCUUGCUCCUCUGACGUUAGCGGCGGACGGGUGAGUAACACGUGGAUAACCUACCUAUAAGACUGGGAUAACUUCGGGAAACCGGAGCUAAUACCGGAUAAUAUAUUGAACCGCAUGGUUCAAUAGUGAAAGACGGUUUUGCUGUCACUUAUAGAUGGAUCCGCGCCGCAUUAGCUAGUUGGUAAGGUAACGGCUUACCAAGGCGACGAUGCGUAGCCGACCUGAGAGGGUGAUCGGCCACCCUGGAACUGAGACACGGUCCAGACUCCUACGGGAGGCAGCAGUAGGGAAUCUUCCGCAAUGGGCGAAAGCCUAACGGAGCAACGCCGCGUGAGUGAUGAAGGUCUUCGGAUCGUAAAACUCUGUUAUUAGGGAAGAACAAAUGUGUAAGUAACUAUGCACGUCUUGACGGUACCUAAUCAGAAAGCCACGGCUAACUACGUG
rnacentral:rRNA from 1 species